ACCCCAUGGAGCUUCAAACCCAACUACACCCCUAGCUCUUAUAGCCCCACAACCCCCCUAGGCGCCGUGUGCUUGGUUUUAGGUUGGGGCGACCGCGGAGUACAAUAAAACCUCCACAAUGAAUGGGAACACCCCCUUAUCUGAGGGCCACACCCCCUAAGAAUUAGAACACUAACAUAAAAUGAUCCAUUACUUGAUCAAUGAACCAAGUUACCCUGGGG
rnacentral:rRNA from 1 species